rnacentral:piRNA from 1 species
UGCAUCUCAUGAAGCAGCCGCAUGAUCUGCUG